AUUAGAGGAAGUAAAAGUCGUAACAAGGUCUCCGUUGGUGAACCAGCGGAGGGAUCAUUACCGAGUUUUCCAACUCCCAACCCUUUGUGAACCUAUACCAGUUCGUUGCUUCGGCGGGACCGCCCCGGCGCGCCUUCGGGCGGCCCGGAACCAGGCGCCCGCCGGAGGACCACACAAACUCUAAGAUUUUCUUCAGGCGUCUUCUGAGUGUAUAAAAACAAAUGAAUCAAAACUUUCAACAACGGAUCUCUUGGUUCUGGCAUCGAUGAAGAACGCAGCGAAAUGCGAUACGUAAUGUGAAUUGCAGAAUUCAGUGAAUCAUCGAAUCUUUGAACGCACAUUGCGCCCGCCAGCAUUCUGGCGGGCAUGCCUGUCCGAGCGUCAUUUCAACCCUCAAGCCCCCGCGCUUGGUGUUGGGGGACGGCGCGAGGCCCGGGGCUCCGGCCCCGGCGCUCGCCGCCCCUGAAAUGGAUUGGCGGCCGCGGAGCUGCCUCCCCUGCGUAGUAGCACACUCGCACCGGGAGCGCGACGCGGCCACGCCGUAAAACGCCCAACUUCUUUAGAGUUGACCUCGGAUCAGGUAGGAAUACCCGCUGAACUUAAGCAUAUCAAUAAGCGGAGGAAAAGAAACCAACAGGGAUUGCCCCAGUAACGGCGAGUGAAGCGGCAACAGCUCAAAUUUGAAAUCUGGCCCCCCGGGUCCGAGUUGUAAUUUGCAGAGGAUGCUUUUGGCGACGCGCCUUCCGAGUUCCCUGGAACGGACGCCAUAGAGGGUGAGAGCCCCGUCUGGUUGGACGCCGAGCCUCUGUAAAGCUCCUUCGACGAGUCGAGUAGUUUGGGAAUGCUGCUCUAAAUGGGAGGUAUAUGUCUUCUAAAGCUAAAUACCGGCCAGAGACCGAUAGCGCACAAGUAGAGUGAUCGAAAGAUGAAAAGCACUUUGAAAAGAGGGUUAAAUAGUACGUGAAAUUGUUGAAAGGGAAGCGCUCAUGACCAGACUUGGGCCCGGUGAAUCAUCCAGCGUUCUCGCUGGUGCACUUUGCCGGGCACAGGCCAGCAUCGGUUCGCCGCGGGGGAGAAAGGCGUCGGGAACGUGGCUCCUCCGGGAGUGUUAUAGCCCGUCGCACAAUACCCUGGGGCGGACCGAGGUUCGCGCAUCUGCAAGGAUGCUGGCGUAAUGGUCAUCAGCGACCCGUCUUGAAACACGGACCAAGGAGUCGUCUUCGUAUGCGAGUGUUCGGGUGUCAAACCCCUACGCGUAAUGAAAGUGAACGCAGGUGAGAGCUUCGGCGCAUCAUCGACCGAUCCUGAUGUUCUCGGAUGGAUUUGAGUAAGAGCAUACGGGGCCGGACCCGAAAGAAGGUGAACUAUGCCUGUGUAGGGUGAAGCCAGAG
rnacentral:misc_RNA from 1 species